GAUGAACGCUGGCGGCGUGCCUAACACAUGCAAGUCGAGCGAAGCGCCUUACUUGAUUUCUUCGGGAUGAAAGUAUUGUGACUGAGCGGCGUAGGGUGAGUACGCGUGAGUAACCUGCCUCAUACGAGGGGGAUAACAGUUAGAAAUGACUGCUAAUACCGCAUAAGACCACAGCACCGGCAUCGGUGCAGGGGUAAAGGAGCUAAUCCGCUUUGAGAUGGCCUCGCGUCCGAUUAGCUAGUUGGUGAGGUAACGGCCCACCAAGGCGACGAUCGGUAGCCGGACUGAGAGGUUGAACGGCCACAUUGGGACUGGAGACACGGCCCAG
rnacentral:rRNA from 1 species